GACGAACGCUGGCGGCGUGCUUAACACAUGCAAGUCGAACGGUGAAGCGCCUUCCUUUUUGGUGGGUGUGGAUGAGUGGCCGACGGGUGAGUAACACGUUAGUAACCUGCCCCCUUCUUCUGGAUAACCGCAUGAAAGGGUGGCUAAUACGGGAUAUUCUGGGUCUGUCGCCUGAUGGGUCUGGGAAAGAUAUUGUUUCGGUGGGGGAUGGGCUCGCGGCCUAUCAGCUUGUUGGUGGGGUGAUGGCCUACCAAGGCGGUGACGGUUAGCCGGCCUGAGAGGGUGGACGCUCACACUGGGAAUGAGACACGGGCCAGACUCCUCCGGGAGGCAGCAGUGGGGAAUAUUGCACAAUGGGCGCAAGACUGAUGCAGAGCCGACGCGUGAGGGAUGGAGGCCUUCGGGUUGUGAAAAUCUUUCGCCAGUGAAGCAGGCCUGCCUCGUUUGUGGGUGGGUUGACGGUAGCUGGAUAAGAAGCGCCGGCUAACUACGUG
rnacentral:rRNA from 1 species